ACAUAAUUCCAAAAUCACUCAAACCCUAAUUUUGAGAAUUCAACAAAUUAUUACCUAAUUAUCCUAGAAUUAUUAUUUAAUUACUAAAUAAGGGUUUUUUAAUAUUUUAUUUAAACACUAUCCAAAUGUCACCAAAUUUUGUGUGAAAUCUGGAAAUGAUAUUCAGAGACUCCCCACAAAGUUUGGUGAUUUUUCGAAAUACUAAUAAAUUAUUAAAAUUCCUAGAAAUUUUAUUCAUUAAAUAAAAGAGGUAAUUUUUAUACACUUGCAAACUAUCAGAAAAUAGAACCUAAUAUUUUUCUUGGGUUCUACUUAUUCCAGGGAAUCUACACAAAAAUUUCUAUGAUUUUUGGAUCUACACAAGAUGUAUUACACAAAUUCAAAUAUAGCUCAAAAACUGCAUAAAAAGAAAAAAGAAAAACACUGCUGCGAGUGGCCGGAAAUCGGCCCGCAGGCCGGCCCGCUCCAGCUCGGCCC
rnacentral:lncRNA from 1 species